AAACAUGAUAAACAUACGCUAGGGCAUUGGCUGAAUCACCACACACAUCUGAGCCAGGUAUAGCGUUACGGCGAACGGCGUCUAGACGGUUUUGUCUGCAGGGCGUCUUCAGUACAUCAGAUUUCAUAACAUUUGGCACAGCAGUACGAGGACUUUCUUGUAUGCUUGCAGCUGCAGGGUGAGAAAGGAAAAAAAUGCAUCAAAGAACAGCCACCUACACUUUUAACAAGGAUUGCAGAAACAAAAGCAGUAAACAGUGUCCUGACAGCACAGACUUCUUUUCUUUGUCAAUGGAGCUGAGAGAAGAUGCAGUCAGACUGACGGACGUCGACAGAAGGAAACGAGUCGGGGAACACAUACCAGCACGUAACAGAUCUACAAUCUCUUUGUAGAGUCGUGUUCCAUAAAAUGUAAACAACUUUAUUAUCUGGUUUUCACACCGUCGGCGUGAUGUCUGCACUUGAUUCAUUGUGCGUCAUUUAUUGAUCUUUUUAUGACAUGAUACGCAAAAUUAAGUUGGAUUACUUGAGUCAUUGUACUUGAUUUGUUUAGCAUG